UUAUCUUCUCUUCUCAUUUGGACCUGCAAAAACAGCAUUUUCCUACGGCUCAACCUACACUUUCCCUAGCUGUUCCCACCUCUGCAAAUUUGAUUAGUGUGUCUUCUGUGAGUUCAUCCUGAUCUCCAAGAAGUAUAUUUUACUAGGCAAAGAGUAAUCCAGGAGUGCGCCAAAGUCUAUCUUCCAAGUUCAUCAAUUUAGCAAAAAUAUAUUGAACACCUAGGUAUCAGGCAUUUUGCAAGGCACUAGGGAAGCAGUAGUGAAAAGGUUAGUUUCACUGCUCUUAUGGUGCUUAGAGUAUAGUGGGUGGGGAAGCCA
rnacentral:lncRNA from 1 species